rnacentral:rRNA from 1 species
AGUGAACGCUGGCGGCGUGCUUAACACAUGCAAGUCGAACGAGAACGGGCUAUAGCUUGCUAUAGUUGUCAGCUAAGUGGCGCACGGGUGAGUAAUGUAUAGGUAAUAUGCCUCUUACUAAGGGAUAACAAAUGGAAACGUUUGCUAAUACCUUAUACUCCUUAUUAACAGAAGUUAAUAAGGGAAAGAUUUAUUGGUAAGAGAUUAGCCUGUAUUGUAUCAGUUAGUUGGUGGGGUAAUGGCUUACCAAGACUAUGACACAUAACUGGUUUGAGAGGAUGAUCAGUCACACUGGAACUGAGACACGGUCCAGACUCCUACGGGAGGCAGCAGUGGGGAAUAUUGCACAAUGGACGAAAGUCUGAUGCAGCAGCGCCGCGUGGAGGAUGACACAUUUCGGUGCGUAAACUUCUUUUAUAUGAGAAGAUAAUGACGUUAUUAUAUGAAUAAGCACCGGCUAACUCCGUGCCAGCAGCCGCCGUAA